AUGGGGGUUAGGGUGAGCCCCGCCUCUGAGCGCUGCCCCACUGUCCUGUCUCUUUGCAGGAGAGUACAUUGCCCUCUACCAGAACCAGAGGGCAGUGCUGAAGGAGCGACACCGGGAGAAGGAGGAGUACAUCAGCCGGCUGGCCCAGGACAAGGAGGACAUGAAGAUCAAACUCCUGCAGCUGCAGGAACUGGUGCUGCAGCUUGUGGGCGAGCUCAGCGAGUGGCAGGGCAGAGUCCUGGCUGCCGCCACAGACUGCGCUGACCAUCCCCUCCUGGGUUCCCAGCCCCCCAGGACGCUGCUGACCCGCAGGCUGGUGAGGAGAGCACCCUGGAGACAGGGAGGGCAGGCAGCAGCAGAGACACUGGCAGCUUGCUCAGGGCCCUCUCUCUUUCCAAAGAUCUUGGCGAGGUGAGCCUCACUGACACCAUGGAGCCUGCACGAGGAGAGGCUGGGGAGGGUUCGUCCACCUAGAACCCUCCUGUGCAGCAGGUCAGGAAGCUGCUGCAGGAGAUCCAGCACCCCCAGGAGCACCCAGGCUUGGGCACCAACCCCUGCAUCCCCUUCUUCUACCGGGCUGACGAGCAUGACAUUAAGAUCAUGAUCGUCUAACACCAGAUACCGUCAGCCCGGAGAGCCCCCACCCAAUCCUUGCCACUCCACCCCUGCUAGCCACCCUAUCCCCUGCCAUUUCUUCCCAGUUCCCUUCCCUCCUUAGAUAGAACCCCUGAUGGGGAGAGAAAGGCCUCUUUAGGCUGCCUCUCUCUGGAGGACCCCAGGGGCUCCUGGGGCCUCCUCAUUUCCAGCUCCAACCUCAGAGGCUGUGACCAAUGCAGGCAGCGUUUGUGUGGCCCCCAGAACAGCCAAGACCAGGGGGGUGCUCAUCUCUUUGGGCAAGUCAGCCAGGAAGUUUUCAUCACCCCUCUUGAGGCUGUCAUCCUGGCAAGGGCAUAAUCUGGGCAGGAACGUCACGUGGUGGUAUCAGCAGUCACGGACACGAGCAUGCAAGAGCCGUGACCUCAUAGGGACAUUGCCAGUGUAUGACAUCAUCAUGCGAGGGUCAUCUCUAAACCACAGGCAUCUGU
rnacentral:lncRNA from 1 species